rnacentral:rRNA from 1 species
UACAGAGGUCCCAAGCGUUGUUCGGAUUCAUUGGGCGUAAAGGGUGCGUAGGCGGCGCGGUAAGUCGGGUGUGAAAUCUCGGGGCUUAACUCCGAAACUGCAUUCGAUACUGCCGUGCUUGAGGACUGGAGAGGAGACUGGAAUUUACGGUGUAGCGGUGAAAUGCGUAGAUAUCGUAAGGAAGACCAGUGGCGAAGGCGGGUCUCUGGACAGUUCCUGGACGCUGAGGCACGAAGGCCAGGGGAGCAAACGGG